CAGGAUGAAGACAAGAGAGAGGAACUACGAGGCAGACCUUUCUCGACUGAGCCCAGAUACGGAAACCAAAAAAAAAAAAAACCCUCUGGUGCAGGUAGGCUAUCUAUAGCAUAUCUGUGUAUAUAAUAAUAUAAUAUAUAAUAAGUAAUUUUGUAUUCGUAUUUUGGUUUGUUUCUCGACUGAGCCCAGAUACAGAAACCAAAGAAAGAAAGAAAAAAAAAACCUCUGGUGCAGCUCAUGAAUGAGGACGUUACUGGAAGCUCUGCAAUCUUGUCCUGCUCUUUCAGUUACAAAAAACCUGAAGUCAAGACAUGAAAUCUAUUAAGACUCGAUGGCAGAAAUAUAUAAAACAUCAUUAAGAGAAAUUAUUCACUUGAGGAUCAAAAAUACAACAUUUCCCAGAGAAGUUUACGAAAGGAAGCUUCACUUUCACACUCAUCUGCAGCUUCAUCUGUGUAUUUGCAGUGCUGAUAAAUAAAG